CGCUCUUUACCAUGUAUAUUCAAGAAGCAGAUGUGGAGUCUUUUCCUAAUCAAGGGUUGCUUCCCCUCUCUCUUACUUAUCUAAAUAUCCGUGGUUGUCGAAAUCUCAAACAACUUGACUACAAGGGUCUUGAGAACCUUCCCUCUCUUAGAACAUUGAGUCUAAAUAAUUGUCCCAACAUCCAAUGCUUGCCAAAGGAGGGUCUUCCUAAAUCCAUUUCAACUCUACAAAUAUUGGGGAAUUGUUCACUGCUUAAACAACGAUGCAAGAAACCAAAUGGCGAAGAUUACAGAAAGAUUGCACAAAUUGAAUGUGUAAUGAUUGACAAUUACACAAGCUCCGACGUUUAAAAUAAGGCGUUUAUCAACAAUCUUAGUUCCCAACUUUAACUCAGGUUGGCGCAUCAAGUUUCCAUAACGAAAAUGACUCGUUUGAUUGACAAUUGUACAAUGAACAACCUGCCGCCUCCAGUGACAAUUGUACAAAUCAAUGUAACUCGUAACUCGCUGGAUUAUCAGUAGUACAUGACAAACUCGCAGGAAUUUUAUGCGAAGAAAGGGACACCAAAAAAAUUGUGGUGAAGUGCUAAAGUUCUGGGAAUUAAGAAGACAAAGGUACAAAAGUUCAUUGCAGUUCUAAUACAGAUUUCCAUGAAACUUCUCAAGAGGUCUCCUUGGCUGCACAAGACAUCAAAUAUUUUUUCUAAAUAGAUAAUUGCUUUGUGGUUUUAAAUAUGUGAGUAUUUUCUUGGUAAAAUAUUUCACAGAUUAAUAACAAUCCUUAAUGUACAAGAAAUUGAUUGUGCCCUUGGAAUCUUGUUUCAAGUAUAUUAUUUUCCAACAAUCUUGAGAGUUGAUCUCUUCUUCUAAUCAUAGA